GUUGGGUGCAGUGAUGCAUGCCUGUAUUCCCAGCUACUCAGGAGGCUGAGGUGGAAGGAUUGCUUGAGCCCAGGAGUUCAGGGCUGUAGUGUGCUAUGCCAAUCCUUUGUCCACCCUGAGUCCCACAUCAAUACAGUGACCUCCUUGGAGUGAGGGACUACCAGGUUGUCUAAGGAGGGGUGAACCCGACUAGGUUGGAAACAGAGCAGGUCAGAACUCCCCUGCUGAUCGAUAGUGGAAUCACACCUGUGAAUAGCCACUGCACUUCAGUCUGGGCAACACAGUGAGACCCUCUCUCU
rnacentral:SRP_RNA from 1 species